rnacentral:tRNA from 1 species
GGGGCUGUGAUUUGGUGGCAGAGUAUCUCCUUGGAAUGCAGAAGGUCCCAAGUUCAAUUCCUGGCAUCUCAA